UUGGACUCAAUGAUCUUGAAGGUCUUUUCCAACCUAAAUGAUUAUAUGAUUCUAUGAUUCUACUUAAGGGAAAGAUGUGGUUCAUUUUUGAACUGUUUAAAGUUGUUCUAUUGACAGUAAUACUUCAAGCUUUCUGUAGAAAAGUAUGUUUAUAAAAGCUUUAAAUUUUCUUGCAUUUCAGAUUGCCUUCAUUUUGCAGUUCUCUGCCAAAAAACAGAGCAAAGCUGCAAAUACCCAUUAUUUCUGUAUAGAUGAUGAACUUGUAUAUGAGAAUCAUUUUCAUUGUUAAGGAAGAAAAUAAUUCAUUAUACUGGAUUUGAUCAGAAAAAACAAACGAAUGCCACAUUUCUCAUAGGCUUUUACACAGUAUUUUUUAAAUUUUUACCAUUACAUCAACUUGCUAAAUAUGUUCAUUCUUUUAUAUUCAAAUUUUAAAAUAGCAGGAUAGAAACAAAUUCCCCCCCUUGAAUAAUCUUCCUACUAAUAUAUUUUACAAUAAGGUGCCACAUUCUAAGACAGUUUUAAAAGUCUAGCAUGUAUGUGGAGGGGGUUGUUUGAUUUGUUUGGGAGUUUUUUUCCUCCAUUGUAAUCUAUGCUCCUAAGAAAUAAGAGCACCACUGGAAGAAAAAAUCUUUAUGCAUAUCUUCAUUUAGAAAAAAAAUGACUGCUUCUUGAUAUUUUUCCUCCCACUCUCUCUAUUUUGGGGGGAUUUUUUAAUAUAGAGAAAUGUUAUCUUGCACAAAGUACAGGAUAUCAUUUGCCACUGCAUACACUUUGAAAUAUACCUUUACUUCUCCAGCUUCUUCUUUUCUAAUGUAAGGUGAUCUUUUCAGCUAACCUAGGAGGAGGAGCGAGAUCAUGUGGCAGGCUUAGAGCCAAUAUAAAACUUGGGAAUAUACAGGGUAACUGAAAAUGUACUGGGUCAGGGCCUUGACCGUGGAGGGUGAAAAUGACUGGCUUUACAUCACAACUAACUCUAAAAGAAUCAGUGUUUGGUACACAAAAGUAUAGCCAAGGAAUAAAAUGCUGAAUGCUUAAGAAGGAAAGAUCUGAUGUACUAUAUUCAUUUUGUGCUUUGACUUGUACUACACCUUCAUUGUAACUAUCUCUUGCUCUUGUUCACUUACUUACUAAUAAAAUGAUUAAAUGAAUUGA